rnacentral:tRNA from 1 species
GCUUUCGGAAUCUUGAGGUUUAAAGCCACCUUCACACAGCGGAGGUCCUGAGUUCGAAUCGCAGCGGGCCCA